UAGGGGGGGGGGGGCAAUUGUUCCAACUUCCUGUCAGCGACAGGAAACGGAGAUGAUGUUGCAAAGGCAGUAGUAUUCACUCUUCCCUUUAAGUUUGGUUAGCCGUUUAAUGUUGGGCCAAUUUUGUACAGAAUGUACUUCAAGUCAUUUCCUCCUGAUCUGUUCGCAGUUUGUUUGUUGGCUUGCAGCAGACAGACCAAGAAGACAUAAUCCUGUUACACUGCUCCCAGAGCUGGAACAGUGAACACCCAAUGAGGGAUGGCAACUCUUGGAAAGGAAUUAAAACACAAAAAGCCUCACUAUCUGUUUUUUUUUUUUUUUUUUUUUUACUGGAAAUUGCCUCAAUGAUGCAAUCCACUUACCGAUCAGGCAGACUGAUCAACAGGCAGUCUUCAUUACCGCAUUCAUUCAUAUUCUCUUUUCACCCAAUAAACAACGAGCUUUUGAGAAAGGAGGUCUAAUUAAAAUUGAAUUUGAUACUGGUGAACACAAACAUGGUUAUUUUAUUCAAAUAUCUGCCUCAGAACUAAACAACACCACUCUUUCUUCAAAACUGGUUUAAUGAAACAGCAAAGGACUGUAUGUCACCGUGUAUUGGAAAAACUACCAAGGAAAACUAUCAACUUUCAACAAUAAUCCUCUUUCUGUUGCACUUGGCUUUGGAAAGUACUGCAACCCUCAGGGCAAGGUUAUUUCCCCUAUAAACCUCAUCUGCAUGCCAUGGUUGUGCAGUAUACUCCUUCUUUGAUCCCAGCAUGUGGACUGGAGUCUCUGUACACAGGUCUGUAUCUUGAAAACAAAUAUCUUCAAAAAUAAACGCACAAUGCUAACCUCAAACACUGGAAAUUGCAAACCAGCAGGAUGUAGUUUUGUAGUUUAAAAACCUAAUCCUGUCGCAUCCACAACCCUGGACAGGUGACCUCUGGCCUGGCUUUGUUAUAAAUAUGAUUUCCGAAACGCAAGGCUCUGGAGUAGGCGAUUUGGGAUGUCUGUGUGCAUUUGAUAUGGGAUACGCUUUAAAAUAAAACCUGGAAACCUGAUAGGCCUUACAUUGCGGGUAGAAUUACUAUCCAGUCAAAUCACUCAGGGUGGGAGGGCCGUGGACACUGCAGAAGAUUCAAUUAACCUUUUCCUUUUCUAAUGCUUUUAGUGACUAACCCACUCACCAGUCUUCUAUACAUUUAACCUGUUUUCACAAAGCAACCCAUGAAGACCACUCUCAAUAGCCCCUUGGCAUUUUCGCACGGCUCCAAACAGCUGAUUCUCCAAACAGCUGCUUCUCCAAAAAGGGGUAAACAUCACAAUAAGUAGAGAAGGGACCAAGAAGAAAAGCAGCUCAAAGGACAAGAGAGGCUCAUAUCAUAUCAGUGCUAGCUGCACAAUGGCAACUGGUGAGGGACCGUCACCUCCCACCACAACUUACACCUACUCAGGACUAUCACAAACACACAGUAUUCGCAAAAUAAAACAGCAUUUUAACAAAAAGGACAAAGCAUCAAAGAUUAGUAGUCAUUCGCCAAUGGUGUCUUGUUAAGGUGAAGCUGCACAAAGGCAAAUUAGCUGAUGAAUGCUUAAGGGAACAAGUUUAAUUGUGUGGGAAGAUCUUUCACAUAUGUGAAAAAAACUACCACAAUGCAUAGAAACACACCCACACCCACAAACAAGCAAUACAGAAGACACAAAAAUGUUGCAGUAGAAACCAAGCCAAAGAGCUCCCAAGGGAACAGGACUGCUGGCUUAAUCACAGGAAUUAUUUCAAAGUGAAACAGUUUUCACAUUGACUGAAGUUGAAUUAACCUGUUUAUCCAAUAUGUACCAAGUUUAUUUUGUAGAUUCUUUUGCCAGCUUCCCCUUUAUUUUGUGGAAGAAUGAACAUGCAUAAGCAAAUAAUUAUGUGUAAGGUGAUAUCACUACUUUCUGGUGCACAGCAGAAUAAGCUAAUACAAUACACACACACACACACACACAAAUCUAGCAUUCUUUAAGAAGUUUCUAGCCUUGUAUUGGAAUACACUCCCACAGCAAGUUAUCGGUGUUCUCCUCAGCAUGUUUCUAACACAUAAUCAAUACGAACUGUACUGAAAAUCCCUCUUUGGCGAUUUACCAACCUCAUCAGCUUAUGAUCAGAAACAGUAGAGCACCAUUCCUCAGCACUUUAAUAUAGUGCUGGAGAUUAAUCAGAGUCUGGAACAGGUACGUAAAAGUGUCCCUGUGAAAACUUGCAGUAUUUGUAACUAAAAUACCACCCUCUGUGAAAACGAUUCACUAAGGAGAUGUAUUCAUUGGCAAUCCACCAAAUGCAAGCACUGGUUUAUUU